rnacentral:rRNA from 1 species
GCAAGUCGAGGGGCAGCACGGGUGCUUGCACUUGGUGGCGACCGGCGGACGGGUGCGUAACGCGUAUGCAACCUACCUUAUACAGGGAGAUAGCCCAGAGAAAUUUGGAUUAAUAUGCCAUAAUAUCAUAAAGCCACAUGGUUUAAUGAUUAAAGAUUUAUCGGUAUAAGAUGGGCAUGCGUAUGAUUAGCUAGUUGGUGAGGUAAUGGCUCACCAAGGCGACGAUCCCUAGCUGGUCUGAGAGGAUGAUC